GACGAACGCUGGCGGCGUGGAUUAGGCAUGCAAGUCGGACGGUAGGGCUUUAUCGUAAGAUAGAGUUUGAGAGUGGCGAACGGGUGAGUAACACGUAGGAAUCUACCCUUAAGACGGGGACAACACAGGGAAACCUGUGCUAAUACCGCAUGACAUCACGUAGGGCAUCCUAUGUGAUCAAAGGAGAGAUCCGGUGGAAGAUGGGCCCGCGUCCAAUUAGCUGGUUGGUGAGGUAAAGGCUCACCAAGGCGACGAUUGGUAGCCGAACUGAGAGGUUGAUCGGCCACAUUGGAACUGAGACACGGUCCAAACUCCUACGGGAGGCAGCAGUGGGGAAUAUUGCACAAUGGGCGAAAGCCUGAUGCAGCAACGCCGCGUGAGUGAUGAAGGCCUUCGGGUCGUAAAGCUCUGUCCUCAAGGAAGAUAAUGACGGUACUUGAGGAGGAAGCCCCGGCUAACUACGUGCCAGCAGCCGCGGUAAAGUCACGUCG
rnacentral:rRNA from 1 species